UACGUAGGGGGCAAGCGUUGUCCGGAAUCAUUGGGCGUAAAGCGCGUGUAGGCGGUUCAGUAAGUCUGCUGUGAAAGUCCAGGGCUCAACCCUGGGAUGCCGGUGGAUACUGCUGGACUAGAGUGCGGAAGAGGCGAGUGGAAUUCCCGGUGUAGCGGUGAAAUGCGCAGAUAUCGGGAGGAACACCAAUGGCGAAGGCAGCUCGCUGGGACGUUACUGACGCUGAGGAGCGAAAGCGUGGGGAGCGAACAGG
rnacentral:rRNA from 1 species